UCAGUCACUAUGACCCAGUGCAGUAACUGAGACUUCUAGUUUAUCUACACUCCUUGCACUGAACCACAGUCCAGUGUGGGGAGGAAUGGAUUAGACACUAUGCAGACCAAGAUUUCUUCAAGGAUCUGCACAGACAGACAUUGUCUGAAUGGCUGGGCGGCUGCUGGAGGAGACUCAUCGUAUUGUGUACAGAUGUAGGAUUCUUUGCCGAGAAUGAAGCUUAGGAGAAACCAGUUUAUGGGUUUUUUAUCUGCAGCAUAAGCUGUUAUGACAUUUGAUCACUCUGACUACAUCACAGUUUCUGCCCUGGGAGGAUGAGAUAUUCCUCAUGUAAGGUAGUGGUGAUGAUGAUGAUGAUGAUGAUGAUGAUGAUGAUGAUGAUGAUGAUGAUGAUGAUACGCAAGAUCCUCUGCUGGAUUCUGACAGUGAUGACACUGAAGCACCAUGGAAGCAGAAGGAAAGUCAGUCUUUGAGUCAGUCAGCCUGGCUUGGCACAGUUAACUCAACACCUGACUUUUCUUUAAAAAGAUGGCUGCCCAAGAUAGCAGGUAAACAGCACUGGCAUUCAGUCUACCUUUUGGCUGAUCCAUUACAUGAUCCAACAGUCUUAAGUGGAUGGGCUGAUCCAUCACAUGAUCCAACAGUCUUUAAAAGUUUUUUUACAAGCCUGACCUGCCAAGUUCACAAGUACUUUCUCUGGAGAGUCAGCAUAAUUUUUAUGGCACAAGACGUUCCUAAUUCAGGUUGAUCCAAUUGCAGUGGCAUUUUGGUAAAUGACGUGGGACAUGCCUGUGCUGGAGAUUUUUCAUUUGACCAAACAUUUGAUCACUGAGUGACUAUACAGAAAGGCUUUUAAGAAGGUGCAAGUGUGGUGUUAUUUAAUUGCACUUGCCAUAGUUUUCAGUGUUUUAUACUGUUUUAAAGUAUUUAUGUGCUUACAGAGUAGUUUAUUCGGUUGUUUGUUUAAAACCUUGUUUAGUGCUAAUAUUUAAUUCAUCUGCCUUGUUUUAAUUAAUGCCAUGAGCCACUUUAAGUCCCAUUUGGGAGAAAUUUGUGUAAAUAAAUAAAUAAAUA